CACGGCUGACGAGCUCCACCUGCCCCGGUUUAUUGUUCGGAGUUUGCUCUCCUAGGUGUAUUACCUAUGACGGCUCACGAGCCCAACCUGCCCGGGUUUUAUGAUCGGAGUUUGCUCUCCUAGGUGUAUUACCUAUGACGGCUCACGAGCCCAACCUGCCCGGGUUUAUUGUUCGGAGUUUGCUCUCCUAGGUGAAUUGCCUACCACGGCUAACGAACCUCACCUGCCCGGGUUUGUAAUCGGAGUUUGCUCUCCUAGGUGAACUGCUUUCGCUAACGACCUCCACCUGCCCGGGUUUGUAAUCGGAGUUUGCUCUCCUAGAUGAAUUGCUUUCGCUAAC